rnacentral:rRNA from 1 species
CAUAACGACUCUCGGCAACGGAUAUCUCGGCUCUCGCAUCGAUGAAGAACGUAGCGAAAUGCGAUACUUGGUGUGAAUUGCAGAAUCCCGUGAACCAUCGAGUCUUUGAACGCAAGUUGCGCCCGAAGCUGUUAGGCUGAGGGCACGCCUGCCUGGGUGUCGCA